rnacentral:sRNA from 1 species
GGGGUAGCUUCGGUUGAGCUGUCAGACCCCCGACCCGACAGCUCAACCGGAGCGCCUC